ACAAAUAUAUGACAUUUAAUUCAUAUUUAUCAUAGAUACAGCGUGACUUUAAUAAGGUUUAUUAGACCUAAAUAAAACUUUUUUUUUGUCAGCAACAAAACAGACUCAUAUAGACUAUGCGAACCAUCCUGGUAACUCUGCAUCCAUAUGAACGACAAACGACGGUUGUUUCCUUGCACUGCGUGCUAGACUGUCCGCCUUUGAGUUAUGUGUCCGUGGUAUAUGAAUAAUCUCUGAGCUGUUGAAACUUCUCUUCAAGAACUUUAUGUCUUCCAAAUAGCUUGCAAAGGCUGGCCACUCUUCUGGUUCCGAAACCAUCUUCACCAAUUGAGCACAAUCCGUUGCAAAAGUAACACAAGACUGUCGAAGAUUCUUCAUGCAUUCCAUUGCCCAUAUGAGAGCCUCUAUCUCUGUGUGUAGUGGCGACCGGCUCGCUCUCGUAUUCCUUGCUCCCAUUAGUCCAUCGUAACCUUCCAGAGUAUUGUACCAUCCUUGCCCUGAAUAUUUAUCCUC
rnacentral:lncRNA from 1 species